rnacentral:rRNA from 2 species
AGAGUUUGAUCAUGGCUCAGGACGAACGCUGGCGGCGUGCCUAAUACAUGCAAGUCGAACGAACUCUGGUAUUGAUUGGUGCUUGCAUCAUGAUUUACAUUUGAGUGAGUGGCGAACUGGUGAGUAACACGUGGGAAACCUGCCCAGAAGCGGGGGAUAACACCUGGAAACAGAUGCUAAUACCGCAUAACAACUUGGACCGCAUGGUCCGAGUUUGAAAGAUGGCUUCGGCUAUCACUUUUGGAUGGUCCCGCGGCGUAUUAGCUAGAUGGUGGGGUAACGGCUCACCAUGGCAAUGAUACGUAGCCGACCUGAGAGGGUAAUCGGCCACAUUGGGACUGAGACACGGCCCAAACUCCUACGGGAGGCAGCAGUAGGGAAUCUUCCACAAUGGACGAAAGUCUGAUGGAGCAACGCCGCGUGAGUGAAGAAGGGUUUCGGCUCGUAAAACUCUGUUGUUAAAGAAGAACAUAUCUGAGAGUAACUGUUCAGGUAUUGACGGUAUUUAACCAGAAAGCCACGGCUAACUACGUGCCAGCAGCCGCGGUAAUACGUAGGUGGCAAGCGUUGUCCGGAUUUAUUGGGCGUAAAGCGAGCGCAGGCGGUUUUUUAAGUCUGAUGUGAAAGCCUUCGGCUCAACCGAAGAAGUGCAUCGGAAACUGGGAAACUUGAGUGCAGAAGAGGACAGUGGAACUCCAUGUGUAGCGGUGAAAUGCGUAGAUAUAUGGAAGAACACCAGUGGCGAAGGCGGCUGUCUGGUCUGUAACUGACGCUGAGGCUCGAAAGUAUGGGUAGCAAACAGGAUUAGAUACCCUGGUAGUCCAUACCGUAAACGAUGAAUGCUAAGUGUUGGAGGGUUUCCGCCCUUCAGUGCUGCAGCUAACGCAUUAAGCAUUCCGCCUGGGGAGUACGGCCGCAAGGCUGAAACUCAAAGGAAUUGACGGGGGCCCGCACAAGCGGUGGAGCAUGUGGUUUAAUUCGAAGCUACGCGAAGAACCUUACCAGGUCUUGACAUACUAUGCAAAUCUAAGAGAUUAGACGUUCCCUUCGGGGACAUGGAUACAGGUGGUGCAUGGUUGUCGUCAGCUCGUGUCGUGAGAUGUUGGGUUAAGUCCCGCAACGAGCGCAACCCUUAUUAUCAGUUGCCAGCAUUAAGUUGGGCACUCUGGUGAGACUGCCGGUGACAAACCGGAGGAAGGUGGGGAUGACGUCAAAUCAUCAUGCCCCUUAUGACCUGGGCUACACACGUGCUACAAUGGAUGGUACAACGAGUUGCGAACUCGCGAGAGUAAGCUAAUCUCUUAAAGCCAUUCUCAGUUCGGAUUGUAGGCUGCAACUCGCCUACAUGAAGUCGGAAUCGCUAGUAAUCGCGGAUCAGCAUGCCGCGGUGAAUACGUUCCCGGGCCUUGUACACACCGCCCGUCACACCAUGAGAGUUUGUAACACCCAAAGUCGGUGGGGUAACCUUUUAGGAACCAGCCGCCUAAGGUGGGACAGAUGAUUAGGGUGAAGUCGUAACAAGGUAGCCGUAGGAGAACCUGCGGUUGGAUCCCUUCCUUA